GACGAACGCUGGCGGCGUGCUUAACACAUGCAAGUCGAACGGUGAAGCUCCAGCUUGCUGGAGUGGAUCAGUGGCGAACGGGUGAGUAACACGUGAGCAACCUGCCCCAGACUCUGGAAUAAGCGCUGGAAACGGCGUCUAAUACUGGAUACGAGAUCAAGCCGCAUGGUUAUGGUUUGGAAAGUUUUUCGGGUUGGGAUGGGCUCGCGGCCUAUCAGCUUGUUGGUGAGGUAAUGGCUCACCAAGGCGACGACGGGUAGCCGGCCUGAGAGGGCGACCGGCCACACUGGGACUGAGACACGGCCCAGACUCCUACGGGAGGCAGCAGUGGGGAAUAUUGCACAAUGGGCGAAAGCCUGAUGCAGCGACGCCGCGUGAGGGAUGACGGCCUUCGGGUUGUAAACCUCUUUCAGCAGGGAAGAAGCGAAAGUGACGGUACCUGCAGAAGAAGCACCGGCUAACUACGUG
rnacentral:rRNA from 1 species